UAGAGUAAUGCGUGACCAACCUGCCCCAUGCUCCAGAAUAGCUCUUGGAAACGGGUGGUAAUGCUGGAUGCUCCAACUUGACGCAUGUCUUGUUGGGAAAGUGUUUAGUGGCAUGGGAUGGGGUCGCGUCCUAUCAGCUUGUAGGCGGGGUAAUGGCCCACCUAGGCUUCGACGGGUAGCGGCCUGAGAGGGCGGACGGCCACAUUGGGACUGAGAUACGGCCCAGACUCCUACGGGAGGCAGCAUU
rnacentral:rRNA from 1 species